rnacentral:rRNA from 1 species
UACGUAGGGUGCGAGCGUUAAUCGGAAUUACUGGGCGUAAAGCGUGCGCAGGCGGCUUUGCAAGACAGAUGUGAAAUCCCCGGGCUUAACCUGGGAACUGCAUUUGUGACUGCAUGGCUAGAGUCCGGAAAGAGGAGAGUGGAAUUCCUGGUGUAGCGGUGAAAUGCGCAGAUAUCAGGAAGAACACCAAUGGCGAAGGCAGCUCUCUGGGACGGUACUGACGCUGAGACGCGAAAAGCGUGGGGAGCGAACAGG